UGCCAGCAGCCGCGGUAAUACAGAGACUGCGAGCGUUAUUCGGAUUCACUGGGCGUAAAGGGUGCGCAGGCGGCCGUGUGUGUGGGGCGUGAAAGCCCGGGGCUUAACCCCGGAAUUGCACCUCAAACUACACGGCUAGAGCAUUGGAGAGGGUAGCAGAAUUCACGGUGUAGCAGUGAAAUGCGUAGAUAUCGUGAGGAAUACCAGAGGCGAAGGCGGCUACCUGGACAAUUGCUGACGCUCAGGCACGAAAGCGUGGGGAGCAAAAGGGAUUAGAUACCCCUGUAGUCCACGCCCUAAACGGUGCACACUAGGUCUUGGAGGAUUCGACCCCUUCAGGGCCCAAGCUAACGCGUUAAGUGUGCCGCCUGAGGACUACGGCCGCAAGGCUAAAACUCAAAGGAAUUGACGGGGGCCCGCACAAG
rnacentral:rRNA from 1 species